rnacentral:tRNA from 1 species
GGCCUCAUAGUUAAAUGGAUAUAAUAGACCCUUCCUAAGGGUUAGUUCGUGGUUCGAUUCCACGUGAGGCCACCA